GCCAGGGUAGCUCAGUUGGUUAGAGCGUAUGACUCAUAAGCCUAAGGUCGAGAGUUCGAUCCUCUCCCCUGGCA
rnacentral:tRNA from 1 species